UACGGAGGGUGCGAGCGUUGUCCGGAAUCACUGGGCGUAAAGGGCGCGUAGGUGGCGCGACAAGUCAACGGUGAAAGCUCGGCGCUCAACGCCGAGUCGGCCGUCGAUACUGUUGGGCUUGAGCACUGUAGAGGCUAAUGGAAUUCCGGGUGUAGCAGUGGAAUGCGUAGAGAUCCGGAAGAACACCGGUGGCGAAGGCGGUUAGCUGGGCAGUUGCUGACACUGAGGCGCGACAGCGUGGGGAGCAAACAGG
rnacentral:rRNA from 1 species